rnacentral:rRNA from 1 species
GAUGAACGCUGGCGGCGUGCUUAACACAUGCAAGUCGAACGAAGCGCUGAAAGCGGAUUACUUCGGUUUGAAGCUUUCUUUGACUGAGUGGCGGACGGGUGAGUAACGCGUGGGUAACCUGCCUCAUACAGGGGGAUAACAGUUAGAAAUGACUGCUAAUACCGCAUAAGCGCACGAAACCGCAUGGUUUUGUGUGAAAAACUCCGGUGGUAUGAGAUGGACCCGCGUCUGAUUAGCUGGUUGGCGGGGUAACGGCCCACCAAGGCGACGAUCAGUAGCCGGCCUGAGAGGGUGAACGGCCACAUUGGGACUGAGACACGGCCCAA